CAGCAGCCACGGUAAUACGAAGGGGGCUAGCGUUGCUCGGAAUGACUGGGCGUAAAGGGCGCGUAGGCGGAUGGCACAGUCAGAUGUGAAAUUCCCGGGCUUAACCUGGGGGCUGCAUUUGAUACGUGUUGUCUAGAGUGAGGAAGAGGGUCGUGGAAUUCCCAGUGUAGAGGUGAAAUUCGUAGAUAUUGGGAAGAACACCGGUGGCGAAGGCGGCGACCUGGUCCUUUACUGACGCUGAGGCGCGAAAGCGUGAGGAGCAAACAGGAUUAGAUACCCCCGUAGUCCCUGUCUCUUAUAC
rnacentral:rRNA from 1 species